rfam:Trichuris muris Edinburgh genomic scaffold, scaffold99
GCAGGGCGUAGUGGCGAACGCUUGUAAUCCAGCUACACGGAGGCUUGGUUCAGAGGAUAGCCUGAGGCAAGGAUUCCUGCAUUGGAAAGGAUCAUGCCGACCGAACGUCCAGAUCAAGGGCGGAGUCAAUAUGGCAACCACUAAGGAGUUGAUGGCGACCAGGUUGGUCAAAGACGGAAGACAUCGGCUGAGGACGGAAACGCAGCAGGCAAAAGUGUCCGCGUCGUUUCACUGAUCGGACAGUGCUUCCGAAUGCUCCCUCCAAUGCAGCCUGAUCGGUGCCUUUUGCUUCCACCACU